UUUGAUGAAAAUUAAGAGUUAAAGACUUUGAAAAUUGUUGAAAAUCACAGUUAUACAGAUUAUAUUUCUACACGCCUUAAGAUUUUGCCUCCAGAUUUUUGAUAUGCGAGACUACCAUCAUGUUUGAGUCCACAUAUGAUGUUGAAAUUGCAGAUUUUUCAACUUUUUAAGACAGGGCCAUUCAUGAAGUUCAGACAUAUCUAGUCAAUUGUUAAGUUUUCUACAUAAGUCAGUUUGAUAAGAACUACAUGCGAUAGAUCAAUGAUAUUUUGUAUGAAGAUGCAAUACUAUUAUAACAUAUCAAUUUGAUGACUAUUUUG
rnacentral:lncRNA from 1 species